CCUACGGGUGGCAGCAGUCGAGAAUCAUUCACAAUGGGGGAAACCCUGAUGGUGCGACGCCGCGUGGGGGAAUGAAGGUCUUCGGAUUGUAAACCCCUGUCAUGUGGGAGCAAAUUAAAAAGAUAGUACCACAAGAGGAAGAGACGGCUAACUCUGUGCCAGCAGCCGCGGUAAUACAGAGGUCUCAAGCGUUGUUCGGAAUCACUGGGCGUAAAGCGUGCGUAGGCUGUUUCGUAAGUCGUGUGUGAAAGGCGCGGGCUCAACCCGCGGACGGCACAUGAUACUGGGAGACUAGAGUAAGGGAGGGGGAACCGGAAUUCGCGGUGUAGCAGUGAAAUGCGUAGAUAUCGAGAGGAACACUCGUGGCGAAGGCGGGUUCCUGGACAUUAACUGACGCUGAGGCACGAAGGCCAGGGGAGCGAAAGGGAUUAGAUACCCGUGUAGUC
rnacentral:rRNA from 1 species